UCAAUCACCAGUUCGCGUACGAUCACCGAAGUUAAGCAACCUUGAUCCUGGCCAGUACCUAGAUCGAUGACUGCUUAGUAAUACCAGGUGCUGUAAG